rnacentral:tRNA from 1 species
UCAGACAGUAUGAGUGUACAGGCAAUUUCCAAUUGUCAGGAUAGCUGGUUAGU